GACGAACGCUGGCGGCGUGCUUAACACAUGCAAGUCGAACGAUGAAGCGGUGCUUGCACCGUGGAUUAGUGGCGAACGGGUGAGUAAUACGUGAGUGACCUACCUUUGACUCUGGGAUAAGCCUGGGAAACUGGGUCUAAUACCGGAUACGACCAAUCUCUGCAUGGGGUGUUGGUGGAAAGCGUUAUGGAGUGGUUUUAGAUGGGCUCACGGCCUAUCAGCUUGUUGGUGAGGUAAUGGCUUACCAAGGCGACGACGGGUAGCCGGCCUGAGAGGGUGACCGGCCACACUGGGACUGAGACACGGCCCAGACUCCUACGGGAGGCAGCAGUGGGGAAUAUUGCACAAUGGGCGCAAGCCUGAUGCAGCGACGCCGCGUGAGGGAUGACGGCCUUCGGGUUGUAAACCUCUGUUAGCAUCGAAGAAGCGAAAGUGACGGUAGGUGCAGAGAAAGCGCCGGCUAACUACGUGCCAGCAGCCGCGGUAAUACGUAGGGCGCGAGCGUUGUCCGGAAUUAUUGGGCGUAAAGAGCUUGUAGGCGGUUGGUCGCGUCUGCUGUGAAGGCCGGGGCUUAACUCCGGUUUUGCAGUGGGUACGGGCUAACUAGAGUGCAGUAGGGGAGACUGGAAUUCCUGGUGUAGCGGUGGAAUGCACAGAUAUCAGGAGGAACACCGAUGGCGAAGGCAGGUCUCUGGGCUGUAACUGACGCUGAGAAGCGAAAGCAUGGGGAGCGAACAGGAUUAGAUACCCUGGUAGUCCAUGCCGUAAACGUUGGGCACUAGGUGUGGGGGACAUUCCACGUUUUCCGCGCCGUAGCUAACGCAUUAAGUGCCCCGCCUGGGGAGUACGGCCGCAAGGCUAAAACUCAAAGGAAUUGACGGGGGCCCGCACAAGCGGCGGAGCAUGCGGAUUAAUUCGAUGCAACGCGAAGAACCUUACCAAGGCUUGACAUGCAUUAGAUCGCGUCAGAGAUGGCGUUUCCCUUCGGGGCUGGUGUACAGGUGGUGCAUGGUUGUCGUCAGCUCGUGUCGUGAGAUGUUGGGUUAAGUCCCGCAACGAGCGCAACCCUCGUUCUAUGUUGCCAGCGGUUCGGCCGGGGACUCAUAGGAGACUGCCGGGGUCAACUCGGAGGAAGGUGGGGAUGACGUCAAAUCAUCAUGCCCCUUAUGUCUUGGGCUUCACGCAUGCUACAAUGGCCGGUACAGAGGGUUGCGAUACUGUGAGGUGGAGCUAAUCCCUGAAAGCCGGUCUCAGUUCGGAUUGGGGUCUGCAACUCGACCCCAUGAAGUCGGAGUCGCUAGUAAUCGCAGAUCAGCAACGCUGCGGUGAAUACGUUCCCGGGCCU
rnacentral:rRNA from 1 species